CUAUGUUAUUUCAUUUUUAGAAAGUUGUUUUCUAAUAACUAAACUGAAAAAAGAGCCUAUGAAAUCGGGCGUGGCUACUUUCAAACUGUUAUUUCCAGUGUUGAUGAUGUGUGUUGCAAUACUUAUUGCGGCUCAGUUAACAGAUGCAGGUCCAACAAGAUUUCCUGAAGGCAGUCCGUGGUCUGUAAAGAAGAAAAGAUCUGUUGACGAUACGCAAAGUGAUAUAGGCAUCGACGUUGCUUUCUUUAACAUUCCUGAAUGACAUCAGUAAAUAUAUGCAGCACCACAUCACAGACAAAAACAAAAAUGCAACUUCAUAUGAAAUUGAGAUUAUGAAUUAUUUACUUUUUCUUGUUGCUUUUUUAAUUUUGAAGUACAAUAAUAAUAAAAAAAUAAGAUUUCUACAAAAUGAA